rnacentral:sRNA from 1 species
UGAUCAAUUGAUGAGUAAACUAACUAAGC